rnacentral:lncRNA from 1 species
ACUGGUGGCUCUGGAACAGAAGGGCACAGCCUGAGCACUGCUAGAAAACCCUCCCAGGACGAUGUUUUGAAGGAGGAACAAGGAAGAGAAUGCGGCAAGCUGGGGUUACAGACGCCUGCUGCCACGCAUGGCCUUUGGCGUGGGUCCUGCGUGUCAACCUGCUCAGCAGGAGCUUUCACCUGCCCAGUCAUCUUGCCAGGCCAAUACUUCUUUAAGGUGGUUGGAAGCCAUAUAAACACUACUGGAGUUAGUCGCCUGACAUUCUAUGCCAGACUUGGUGACAACGGACAAGACUGUGAGAACACAAACCUUCGGCACGUGAAGCAGAGGUGGAGGGACCACAUGGCUACAGCCAGGAAGCCAGAGCCUGACAGAGCAAGGCAGGCACAGAAAGGCAGGCUCCCCCGGGGAACCUUCCUGCUGGCACGGUCCUCACACUGGACCUGUCAAUCACAGUGCUCACUCUUAGCUCAGAGAGACGCAAGGCCUGGCUCUGGGGUGUGGGGUUUUCAUUACGCAGUCAAGCUAGAACUAACAAUUCUCCUGCCUCACAUGGAAUUGUAAAUAUGUGCCAGCUGGAGCCUCUUCACAUUGGAUUCCUACGUAAGCCUCUGUGCACGUGACAAUAGGGACUGCAUGGCCACAGGGAGGCUUUCCUGUGACCCUCUAAGCACAGCAACUGAGGGAACCCACAAGGAAACAAGACUCUUUGGCUCCUUUGAGAUUCUGCUUGCCUGAGCUGCAGGCAAAGGCUGGACCAUGGUGAGGCCCAGCUACUCGCAAAGGUCACUCAACAAUGACAAGAGCCCAGCAGGGUCAGGACAAAAGAGGGAGGAUAGGCCAGGGUCCCAGAGGGCUUUUGGCCCAGUCCAUCACUAGUAUCCUCUGCAUGGAUGCAGGUAUGAACCUCAGAUGCCAGCGUCACACAUGGGCACUGGACCUGAGACAUGUUUAGAGAGGAUCUUAAAAUAAUCCAAUCAAACCACCAAAUUAUCUGCUCGUGGCAGAAGUGCGCCCGUGUGGCUGUUCUUGUGAAGAAACAGCUCUUUGAUCAUCUCAAGAGAUAAACUCCGGGCUUCCUCAGCUGCCCAGACAGCUCUGGGCAGAGCAAAGAGGCUACCUGUCUCUUUUUAGCAAGACAUGGUCACCAGUGGUCCACCUGGGAGAACUCAGGCAGACAGUGGACAAGAAAGGGACAGCAAGUUCAACAUGGUACUGGGACUUCUUACCCACAUAUUCCGAGAGGAAGACGACAAAGAACGGAGUGACCAGGUCAUUAAUUCCCUGGACAUACCCACUGGCGGGGUGUCGGAUGGCCCAGAUAAAGAGAAUUCGUUCAAAGAUCUAGGAAGACGAG